GUACGGGUGCGGAACACGUGUGCACUGCCUUUAUCUGGGGGAUAGCCUUUCGAAAGGAAGAUUAAUACCCCAUAAUAUGUUGAAUGGCAUCAUUCGACAUUGAAAACUCCGGUGGAUAGAGAUGGGCACGCGCAAGAUUAGAUAGUUGGUGAGGUAACGGCUCACCAAGUCUACGAUCUUUAGGGGGCCUGAGAGGGUGAUCCCCCACACUGGUACUGAGACACGGACCAGACUCCUACGGGAGGCAGCAGUGAGGAAUAUUGGACAAUGGGUGAGAGCCUGAUCCAGCCAUCCCGCGUGAAGGACGACUGCCCUAUGGGUUGUAAACUUCUUUUGUAUAGGGAUAAACCUACCCUCGUGAGGGUAGCUGAAGGUACUAUACGAAUAAGCACCGGUAACUCCGUGCCAGCAGCCGCGGUAAUACGGAGGGUGCAAGCGUUAUCCGGAUUAAUGGGGUUUACAGGGGUCCGUAGGCGGGAUCUGUAAGUCAAGUGGUGAAUCUCACAGUUUAAUUGUGAAAUUGGCCAUUGGAUACUUGGCAGGGUCUUGGAGUGGUGGUUGGAANGUAGUUGGAAUAAGGUAAGUGUAAGGGUGAAAUGG
rnacentral:rRNA from 1 species